rnacentral:lncRNA from 1 species
CUUCUCGGCUCGGACUCGCCCUCCCUCGACGCAUAUAUGGGUCGAGCCGUGACCCCUGUGCCCAAUUGUGCGUCACCAUGUCUGAGAAAUAGAAAGGACAGGGGACAGCCCGCCGUCAUUGCGAUCUGCUCCCUGGGCCGUAUGUCCUUGACGGAUGGCACCAGCGGGAUCACUAGGGACCCUAGUACUUGGGCAAAGGAGUUGCCGACACCGGGGAUCGCUGGAGUCGCGAGAAUUGCUCGUUGUUGCUUAACUUCAUCGACAAUCCCCAGCGCGCCGUGGCCGUCAAGAAUUUCCCUGUGAAUUCCGGUGAGAGCCUUUUCCGCAGCUUCCCCAUGUCCCCAAUUCGGUAUAACAUUAUUUUUAUUAGGAAAUUGAGUUCCCGGGCGGGCGGGCUGCCGUUCUAGCCAUGGCGCCGUUGCGGCGCUGGCGUCUCUUCCUGCUUUCGGCUGGGGGUGUGUGUGUGAGGGAGAGGGAGAUCUGACCGUUAAAUCCGAUCACGGAGGGACAUGGAUCCACCGUUGGAUCGUGGUGAACGGCAGGGAUUAGCUUGUCAUAGGUGUCCAGCCGAAGUCGAUCAGAACCGUUGAUCGAAAAGCACGUGAUCGAGGUUAGCUCCGGGCACUUUAAAUCUGGUCCGUUGAUUGCUUGUUGGGCGGUCACAAUUAAAUCAGAAGCGCGUCCCUCGUCUGUGUAAUCAAAGCCGGUGAUUGGGUGAUGGACGGUCAAAACUGGGUCUCGGUUAUUUAAAACACUAGGCGACGGAUCUCGAUCCGAUGGCUACCUUUGAAUACCGAUUCGCAUUAAGGGCAAUUCUAACCUGGUCGUGGGAUCUGAUCUGGACGACCAGAAUCAUCCAAUACCCCUUCGCCAUGCACUUUGACAUAUGAGACCCUAUGCUUUUCACAAACUAACAUGUUGUCCUGUGCUCAGUAAUGGGACCCUCGGGUUAGGUUUCGAAAUUGCAAACCAGUCCCUAGAAAUUUGAAGAAACGCCCCUAGAAGUAAUCUUAAUAUAAAAUUUAUACUUAAAAUAUCCCUAAAACUUGUUUAAUUCAUAUUUUGUUCAUUUUAACUCCGAUUUAGUCUGUUCUAGUUGCAUUAACUUUGUAAUAAUAUUGCAUAAGCUUUUGUAACGAUAUUUUAUCAGAUAAUAUGUUUGUAAAAAUAAAUAUGCAUUUAACCUAUGUCUAAUAGAUUAAUCCUUCUAAUCAAAGUUAAUCCGUCAAUAAUUAUAAUCUGACUAAAAUAUGAUUUCCAAUUAAGAUAUAACUUAAAUUAGUUAUUUCUUUAAUAUCUUUUCUCACUUGAUUUUUAUUAAUCAACAUAUAAUAUAGUGUUAGUGUUUAAACACCUUAAACUUUAGAAAACUAUAUCUUUUGAACCAUAACCCUGAUUUUAAUACUUCUCGAACCUACAAUCUCGUAGCAUCACAUAGAAGAUUCUUACGCCAUUUGUUCUCAUGAUUGUUGUAUUGUUAUUUUUAUGUACUCUUUGUUUAUUUGUAUGUUUUGCUACGAGUAGCGGUGAUGUCACGGGAAUCUGAAGACUAACUUGGUACCUAGAAUCUCGAGUCCCAGGCAAGUUGUGUCCUUGAUCACUUUUUUUACCUAAUAAUGUUCCUGUUAAUCAAUGUGACAUGCUCAGGUUAAUUUUAUGGGACCCAAUAGGUUUCCCUAGCAUUGUUUAUCCCUUACCUUGCAAACAGAAGCACUAUUGGGUAGUUUUGCUAUUGCUCCACCUAGUUUUGGGAAAUUAAUGUUAUAUUAUGAUCAUGUUCUAGUUAUACUGUUGUUUUAAUUAUUGUUCAUGAGAAGAUCAUUGUGUUAAUUGGAACAUAGAGCGACCACCCGGGAAAACAGUGCUACCACAAGGGUGGUAUGGGACACCAUUGCUGACUAAUUAGGAAAGCUAGUGGAAGACUACCUUACCUGAAAGGGGCAAGGGCGGUAGAGGAGCUACAUAUAGGGAGGUUCUCGGGUCGAUUAUGCUGUGAUGUCUUUUCGGGCGUGGGAUUCCUAUAUUGCCCUUCUCAGAAACCGUAGCGGGUUUUCAGAAGCUAGUAGAACUUUGUAAAGGCCUCAUAGUGGUACCCUGCCUCGUCUCCUCGGUAGAGAUGAAUGAGAAGUCGUGAUCCCUUGGCAAAUGGGUAACAUGACUUAUGAGUAAAGAUGUGCAACCUCUGUAGAGUGUAAAACUGGUAUAUCAGUCGUGCUCAUGGUCAUGAGCAGCUCGGACCCUCACAUGAGUAAUUUAUGGAACUAAACUUAAUUUGUCAUAUGUAUUGCAUUGUGGGUGUUAUUAUUAAUCUUGAUCUCUUAUUUAUUUGGGUUGGUAUCUACUUUUACUUAGUAACUGCUAAUAAAUUUUUGACCAACUCUAAAAGCAAUGCUCAAAUUUAACCAUCUCCUUUGGUAAGCCUUACACUUCACAUGAGCUCCCACCUUUGGUGAGUUCAUGCAAAUUAUUCCCCACAACUUGUUGAGCGAUGAACGUAUGUGAGCUCACCCUUGUUGCACUCACAUCCCCCAAGUCAAGAACAGGUACCACAGGAUGAGGCGCAUGAAGGAUGCAGUGAUGAGUUCGUGAGUGGUUUAGGCCGUCAUCUCCCAGUCAACUUUGUGUUGCUGGAUCGUUGUCUUCGUAUGAUGUAAUUAUUUAACUACUUU